rnacentral:rRNA from 1 species
GACGAACGCUGGCGGCGUGCCUAAUACAUGCAAGUUGAGCGCUGAAGGUUGGUACUUGUACCAACUGGAUGAGCAGCGAACGGGUGAGUAACGCGUGGGGAAUCUGCCUUUGAGCGGGGGACAACAUUUGGAAACGAAUGCUAAUACCGCAUAAAAACUUUAAACACAAGUUUUAAGUUUGAAAGAUGCAAUUGCAUCACUCAAAGAUGAUCCCGCGUUGUAUUAGCUAGUUGGUGAGGUAAAGGCUCACCAAGGCGAUGAUACAUAGCCGACCUGAGAGGGUGAUCGACCACAUUGGGACUGAGACACGGCCCAAACUCCUACGGGAGGCAGCAGUAGGGAAUCUUCGGCAAUAGACGAAAGUCUGACCGAGCAACGCCGCGUGAGUGAAGAAGGUUUUCGGAUCGUAAAACUCUGUUGGUAGAGAAGAACGUUGGUGAGAGUGGAAAGCUCAUCAAGUGACGGUAACUACCCAGAAAGGGACGGCUAACUACGUG